AUUGAACGCUGGCGGCAGGCUUAACACAUGCAAGUCGAGCGGAGUGAUGGUGCUUGCACUAUCACUUAGCGGCGGACGGGUGAGUAAUGCUUAGGAAUCUGCCAUUUAGUGGGGGACAACAUUCCGAAAGGAAUGCUAAUACCGCAUACGUCCUACGGGAGGAAGCAGGGGAUCUUCGGACCUUGCGCUAAAUGAUGAGCCUAAGUCGGAUUAGCUAGUUGGUGGGGUAAAGGCCUACCAAGGCGACGAUCUGUAGCGGGUCUGAGAGGAUGAUCCGCCACACUGGGACUGAGACACGGCCCAGACUCCUACGGGAGGCAGCAGUGGGGAAUAUUGGACAAUGGGCGGAGGCCUGAUCCAGCCAUGCCGCGUGUGUGAAGAAGGCCUUUUGGUUGUAAAGCACUUUAAGCGAGGAGGAGGCUCUCCUAGUUAAUACCUAGGAAGAGUGGACGUUACUCGCAGAAUAAGCACCGGCUAACUCUGUGCCAGCCGCCGCCGUAAAAC
rnacentral:rRNA from 1 species